AAUGGGUCAGCGACUUAUAUUCUGUAGCAAGGUUAACCGAAUAGGGGAGCCGAAGGGAAACCGAGUCUUAACUGGGCGUUAAGUUGCAGGGUAUAGACCCGAAACCCGGUGAUCUAGCCAUGGGCAGGUUGAAGGUUGGGUAACACUAACUGGAGGACCGAACCGACUAAUGUUGAAAAAUUAGCGGAUGACUUGUGGCUGGGGGUGAAAGGCCAAUCAAACCGGGAGAUAGCUGGUUCUCCCCGAAAGCUAUUUAGGUAGCGCCUCGUGAAUUCAUCUCCGGGGGUAGAGCACUGUUUCGGCAAGGGGGUCAUCCCGACUUACCAACCCGAUGCAAACUGCGAAUACCGGAGAAUGUUAUCACGGGAGACACACGGCGGGUGCUAACGUCCGUCGUGAAGAGGGAAACAACCCAGACCGCCAGCUAAGGUCCCAAAGUCAUGGUUAAGUGGGAAACGAUGUGGGAAGGCCCAGACAGCCAGGAUGUUGGCUUAGAAGCAGCCAUCAUUUAAAGAAAGCGUAAUAGCUCACUGGUCGAGUCGGCCUGCGCGGAAGAUGUAACGGGGCUAAACCAUGCACCGAAGCUGCGGCAGCGACACUAUGUGUUGUUGGGUAGGGGAGCGUUCUGUAAGCCU
rnacentral:rRNA from 1 species